AAGGAUCAUUACCGAGUGCGGGCCCUCUGGGUCCAACCUCCCAUCCGUGUCUAUCUGUACCCUGUUGCUUCGGCGUGGCCACGGCCCGCCGAAGACUAACAUUUGAACACUGUCUGAAGUUUGCAGUCUGAGUUUUUAGUUAAACAAUAAUUAAAACUUUCAACAACGGAUCUCUUGGUUCCGGCAUCGAUGAAGAACGCAGCGAAAUGCGAUAAUUAAUGUGAAUUGCAGAAUUCAGUGAAUCAUCGAGUCUUUGAACGCACAUUGCGCCCCCUGGUAUUCCGGGGGGCAUGCCUGUCCGAGCGUCAUUGCUGCCCUCAAGCACGGCUUGUGUGUUGGGCUUCCGUCCCUGGUAACGGGGACGGGCCCAAAAGGCAGUGGCGGCACCAUGUCUGGUCCUCGAGCGUAUGGGGCUUUGUCACCCGCUCCCGUAGGUCCAGCUGGCAGCUAGCCUCGCAACCAAUCUUUUUUAACCAGGUUGACCUCGGAUCAGGUAGGGAUACCCGCUGAACUUAAGCAUAUCAAUAAGCGGAGGAA
rnacentral:misc_RNA from 1 species